rnacentral:tRNA from 1 species
GGAGGAGUCGCAUAGCAUGGCCCAUUGCGAGGGUUUGCUAAACCCUUGAGCCCUUAAAAGCUCGCGUGGGUUCGAAUCCCACCUCCUCCG